AAAAAAUAAAUAUAAUAUAAGCACCCAUAUAAACUAUCUUCAAAAUAAAUUACCAUAACAUAAUAACUUUAAAAUUAAAGAACAAAAGAGUUGAGCAUUUUGAAUUAUAUUUUUUGAUUUUUUGGAAGUAAAAAUUUAACAAAACGACAUCAUUUUAAUAAAAUUGACUAAAUAGAAAAACAAUAAUAGAAACCAGCCAAGCCCAUUAAACCUGCAACCUGUUGAAAGGUCAAUGGAUACCCAACCAAUCCGUUAAGUUUUUCCCUCUUUCAGUGAUAUGGGGAUUUUGAAGAUGAACCAAAUUGUUUGAUGAACCAGUUCACAAUUUCACGAUCCAACUGACCGUGUCAGGGUUUCAAAACCAUGCUAUCAACAGCAAUUGGAUAUGGGAACUUGAAUUAUGAUUAUGGUAGAGGAAGAAGAGCUAUCCACUUUUGUUUGUUCGCAUUAAGUCAUCAAUGCUAUUUCCAUUUACUUUACAGCAACUCCAAAGCUGAGUUGAAUUAUUCAUGUUGCACGUACAAGUGACACAGAACAUUGCCAAAAUGAUGAACAAGAUUUUACUUUAUUAUCAAAAAACCUCAGAAUGAGCAUAAAGUAGUAAAUGCUUCUCACUGUUAAUCCAAAGUGUUAAUAUCUUCAGGUAAAUAAAGAUUUGCAUAUAAUGCAUGAAAAAGAAACAACAAUUAGCAAUGUUGCAUUCUGGCCUCUGAAACAUAUUUCUUCAAUUAAUAGAGCAUCUAUAGCUAUUAGAACAAAUAAUGACAGGCACCCGACACCGCUAAAAUUCAAAACCCAUGCACCUGUUUUUGCAAAUUAGAAGUCAAAUAGCAUAACUCUGUUCUACUAGCUCUGGUUAACAGGGAGGUACACGCCUUCUGCUGCCAGCCAAACAUUA
rnacentral:misc_RNA from 1 species